GGAACAGAAAACGUUGGAACUAAAAGAACGAAGGCACAAAAUCGAUUAUUGGAUGAACUCACUGCCGCUACCGACUCAAACUAACGCUAUUCAAAGACUGCGCAUCGAUAUAUUUCCAGUGAUACAGUGCUGUCUCACUGAUCAAGCUUAUAAAUUCAUUUUUAGAUACUAAUGUCUCUAGUAUAAUCUGAAGAAUUUGCUGAAACAAAACUGCACAUAAAUGUAUCGAUAUUAUAUACAUUAUAAUAUAUAGAUUACUUUAAAUUGUUUAACAACUUGAUGCACAGUGAAUGUGUUGGAAACAUUUACGAUAAAAUAAAAUUUACGUUCUCUUCACAAUAUAGGAAAUUAAUAUUCAAGCACUUUUAAGGUUUAAUAUUUUUAAAAUUUUAUAAAAUCAAUUCAAUUUUAUUCAACGUUUUCUGAUGGACACAACUGAUUUAUGCAGGGAAUGCACACAGGGGGAACAUGUAAUGUUUAACUCGCAUAUAAUGAAAAUGAUAUUCGAUGAUAUGUAUCAACCUCAAAUGAAAAAAACAAUUUCAAUUGGAAACAAUUCAAGACUCGAACAAUAUUUUUCAAUAAUACCACGGCCAGAAAUAUUGAUAAGCUGGAAAGCCAUUUCGAUUCGUAACUCGUCGCUUGAAUCUUUCAAGUUUAUUGGCAUAACAAUGGGUAUUUCACGGCAGCUGACAAUUGCAUAAUGUUGUGACUUAUGAACUAAUUUACAUCUUAAUCCGAGCGUCCAUUGUUCAAUGCUAUUGUAGCUCAAGAGCUUACUGUGUUUAGGGCGGCAAACU